CGUAGGGCGCAAGCGUUGUCCGGAAUUAUUGGGCGUAAAGAGCUCGUAGGCGGUUUGUCGCGUCUGGUGUGAAAACUCAAGGCUCAACCUUGAGCUUGCAUCGGGUACGGGCAGACUAGAGUGUGGUAGGGGUGACUGGAAUUCCUGGUGUAGCGGUGGAAUGCGCAGAUAUCAGGAGGAACACCGAUGGCGAAGGCAGGUCACUGGGCCACUACUGACGCUGAGGAGCGAAAGCAUGGGGAGCGAACAGGAUU
rnacentral:rRNA from 1 species